rnacentral:rRNA from 1 species
GCUAACUCCGUGCCAGCAGCCGCGGUAAUACGGAGGAUGCAAGCGUUAUCCGGAUUCAUUGGGUUUAAAGGGUGCGCAGGCGGAUUGGUAAGUCAGGGGUGAAAUCCCACAGCUCAACUGUGGAACUGCCUUUGAUACUGUCAGUCUAGAGUAUAGUUGAAGUUGGCGGAAUGUGUCAUGUAGCGGUGAAAUGCUUAGAUAUGACACAGAACACCGAUCGCGAAGGCAGCUAGCUAAGCUAUAACUGACGCUCAUGCACGAAAGCGUGGGGAUCAAACAGGAUUAGAUACCCCUGUAGUC